rnacentral:rRNA from 1 species
ACUCCUACGGGAGGCAGCAGUGGGGAAUAUUGCACAAUGGGCGCAAGCCUGAUGCAGCCAUGCCGCGUGUAUGAAGAAGGCCUUCGGGUUGUAAAGUACUUUCAGCAGUGAGGAAGGCAGGUACGUUAAUAGCGUGCUUGUUUGACGUUAGCUGCAGAAGAAGCACCGGCUAACUCCGUGCCAGCAGCCGCGGUAAUACGGAGGGUGCGAGCGUUAAUCGGAAUUACUGGGCGUAAAGCGCAUGCAGGUGGUUUGUUAAGUCAGAUGUGAAAGCCCGGGGCUCAACCUCGGAAUUGCAUUUGAAACUGGCAGACUAGAGUACUGUAGAGGGGGGUAGAAUUUCAGGUGUAGCGGUGAAAUGCGUAGAGAUCUGAAGGAAUACCGGUGGCGAAGGCGGCCCCCUGGACAGAUACUGACACUCAGAUGCGAAAGCGUGGGGAGCAAACAGGAUUAGAUACCCUGGUAGGAUAGCC